rnacentral:rRNA from 1 species
UAACGACUCUCGGCAACGGAUAUCUCGGCUCUCGCAUCGAUGAAGAACGUAGCGAAAUGCGAUACUUGGUGUGAAUUGCAGAAUCCCGUGAACCAUCGAGUCUUUGAACGCAAGUUGCGCCCGAGCCCUUUACCGGGCGAGGGCACGUCUGCCUGGGCGUCUCACA